CAAGAAGCGCCGAAAGGCUGCUUUACAACCAUAGCGAACCUAUCCUUCAGCGUUGCUUCGGCGGGAGGCCGCCCCCCUCGGGGGGCGGCGUGGCGUGCCCUAACCUCUCCGGAGGCGGGGCCGCCGCCCGCCGGAGGUGCGAAACUCUUUUGUAAUUCCGGAAUCCUCUGAGUAAACAAGCAAAUAAGCCA
rnacentral:misc_RNA from 1 species